rnacentral:misc_RNA from 1 species
GGAAGUAAAAGUCGUAAUAAGGUUUCCGUAGGUGAACCUGCGGAAGGAUCAUUACUGAGUGAGGGCCCUCUGGGUCCAACCUCCCACCCGUGUUUAUUGUACCUUGUUGCUUCGGUGCGCCCGCCUCACGGCCGCCGGGGGGCUUCUGCCCCCGGGUCCGCGCGCACCGGAGACACCAUUGAACUCUGUCUGAAGAUUGCAGUCUGAGCAUAAACUAAAUAAGUUAAAACUUUCAACAACGGAUCUCUUGGUUCCG